UGUCUUUUAGAUUUUUUCUUCUUCUUUUAUUUUUUAUUUAUAUUUUCUCUUAUACAUAUAUAAUUUUUUAAUUUUUAGUACGCUCUUCAAUUUAAAAAGUUAUAAUGGCAAAAACACCGCAGAUGCGAGCAGCUUCUAAUAAGUACUCAUCUAAAAUUAACAAAAAGGGGGGAUUUAGUACAGCAACUAAGUCCAAAAAAAGAAGGCCCUGGGUGACGUAUAAAACUUUGGUAGUCUGUUUACUUACCAUUGUUUUACUCGGAAGCGCCUUACCAACAAUAUAUAAACUUUUUGUGUGAUAGGGGUUUAAAUUAGUCUUGGUUCCUUUGGGCAUCCUUAAAGUUUCUUUUAUUUCAAAAGCUUUUUAAAUAUUUUACUUGCAAC